CGUGUAGGCGGGAAUGUAAGUCAGAUGUGAAAUGCCAAGGCUUAACCUUGGAGCUGCAUCUGAAACUGCGUUUCUUGAGUGUCGGAGAGGAAAGUGGAAUUCCUAGUGUAGCGGUGAAAUGCGUAGAUAUUAGGAGGAACACCAGUGGCGAAGGCGACUUUCUGGACGAUAACUGACGCUGAGGCGCGAAAGCGUGGGGAGCAAACAGGAUUAGAUACCCUGGUAGUCCACGCUGUAAACGAUGGAUACUAGGUGUGGGAGGUAUCGACCCCUUCCGUGCCGCAGUUAACACAAUAAGUAUCCCACUGGGGAUACGGCCGCAAGGUUGAA
rnacentral:rRNA from 1 species